CUCUGGCUGUAGCCAGGGGGAAGAAGCUCUUACAGACAAGCUGCUUGGAGAUGCUUGUUUUACUGCUGGUUGUGAAAAUUUGUUUACUUCCUAGUUCAAGGCCCAAACACGGUGACAUCACUAUAUCUGAGGACAACUGGAUACCUCUGGGCAUACCACAAAACGAAGGAACAGUGCACCUGGUCCCUUUCUCCCUCUUCUUGAAGGCUCCUGAGGAAAGUGUGGGCAGAAGCUGAAGGACUCAAGUAUAAUGCUUUGUUUAAAUUCAUACUGAGAUUGUUAACUGAAAGGGUGCAAUGGACUAAAAUACACCUAUAUUUUUAAUACUUAGUCCAGAGCAAUGGACUAAAAUAUACUUAAAGUUGUGACUUAGUCAUGUAAAUGUUUAAAAUACAUGUUUAAACAUUUGCAAUAUUGUAUUUGCAUGUAUGGACAUGCCAAUUUAGCAAAUGUUAGCCAACUUACCUAAAUCUUUUCCUGAUAAAAAGAUUACAAAAUAGGUGCACAAAUCCCAUCUCAGAUCUCCAUGCUUGACCUUACUACCAAUAUUUUGCCCUUUUGAUACACAUGAAUCUACCUACAGGGAUGUCACAAGUUACUGAGCAAAUGCACCUGCAUUGCUCUAGACAGAUGGAAUAAAAACUUUUUAGGCUAUAAAGCAAUAUAAGAUACACUAUGAAAAUAAUUGUUUGGAUGCUUGUUUUUUUCCUACAUGAACUAGUGUUUAGGUGCUUCUGUUUUUGAGUGCUUAAUACAAUACAGCGAUUUCAAACUCAUCUAGCCCUGCAGGCCACAUGAGUGUCAUUGGGCUGCUCUGUGGGCUGGAUUGGAACUGUCCCCCUGUGCCACAGGUAAUGCCCCAUGGCAACAGAUCCAGCUCAGGUACUGCAUGCAGCAUAUGCCAGCUGCACUCCAGAGCUCAUGAUGCAUGUGAUGUGUGGGCUAGACCCGGAGCUGCUUGCACUGCUGGCUCUAGC